GAUGAACGCUGGCGGCGUGCUUAACACAUGCAAGUCGAACGAAGCACUUUAUUUUAUUUCCUUCGGGACUGAUUAUUUUUUGUCUGAGUGGCGGACGGGUGAGUAACGCGUGGGUAACCUGCCUUUUACAGGGGGAUAACAGUUGGAAACGGAUGCUAAUACCGCAUAAGCGCACGGCAUCGCAUGAUGCAGUGUGAAAAACUCCGGUGGUAUAAGAUGGACCCGCGUUGGUUUAGCUUGUUGGUGAGGUAACGGCCCACCAAGGCGACGAUCCAUAGCCGAGAAGAGAGGGAGACCGGACACAUUGGGAGUGAGACACGGAACAAAAUCCGACGGGAGGAAGCAGAGGGGAAUAGUGAAAAAUGGGCGAAAGCAUGAUGAAGCGACGCCGCGUGAGCGAAGAAGUAUUUCGGUAAGUAAAGCUAUAUCAGCAGGGAAGAUAAUGACGGUAACUGACUAAGAAGCACCGGCUAAAUACGUG
rnacentral:rRNA from 1 species